AGAGCCAGCCUCACCCUCGUGGGCGUGCGCCCGGACUACAGGGUUGCUUGAGACUGAUGGUGAUACACAGCAAGGAAGACAGUUAAGGGACGCCAAGCAUAGUGCAACGCUGAGGUCGACAGGAUCUUGUUAAGUUGCCCAGGCUGAUGCUCAUGAACUUCCAAUCUUCUUUCUUCAAACAUCAGAGUACCUGAAAUCACAGGUGUGCACCACCACAUCCAGCCAGCCAGUGUUACUGCAUUUAACUUUUGAUGGAUUCUGACUGAUUUAGGAUAACCCAAUGUGAAGGACUGGACAAUUUUAUGACUAUCAACUGUGUACUAUCAACUCUGUAAAAAGAAUAAUGCUGACAUGCUAUGACACAGAAUUGGAAUGUGGGCAGUAGUCACACUGGCCAGCAGCAACACACUCUGUGUUUUGUGGAUAAACAGAAGAUAUAUUAAAAGUAAGUACAGCUGUC